rnacentral:rRNA from 1 species
UGGUGGAGUGAUUUGUCUGGUUAAUUCCGUUAACGAACGAGACCUCGACCUGCUAAAUAGUUGGGCCAAUCCUCGGAUUGGUGAUUAACUUCUUAGAGGGACUAUCGGUGUGUAGCCGGUGGAAGUUCGAGGCAAUAACA